rnacentral:tmRNA from 1 species
GGGGAUGCCAAGCUUCGACGGAUUAAGCUCUUUGACACUGGCAAGCAGACUUUGACUCACAGUCUUAAAACAUCUGUCAAAAAACAACUGUCAACUUUUUAAGUGACAUCGUCGCUGAAGCUAAAGCCGCAGUCAAAUCUUUGGCUGUUUCUUUGUUCGGCGAACCGGCUCGGGUUUACGCCUGAACCGGCGUCCUGGUUAUUCUAUGCUUGGGGAGAUUAAUCGGGGCGGAAACAAACUCAAGCUGUAGUCCUGGGCUGAUUCUGCCAGGAUAAAACUAAAAUUAGAAUCAACUUUUUGUUUGUUUUUUAAAACAAACUAAGCUUGUAGUCAGUUCAAUUAGUUUUUUUCGGACGAGGGCUCAUUACCCUCCAUCUCCACCA